rnacentral:rRNA from 1 species
UCGAGCGAACUGAUUAGAAGCUUGCUUCUAUGACGUUAGCGGCGGACGGGUGAGUAACACGUGGGCAACCUGCCUGUAAGACUGGGAUAACUUCGGGAAACCGAAGCUAAUACCGGAUAGGAUCUUCUCCUUCAUGGGAGAUGAUUGAAAGAUGGUUUCGGCUAUCACUUACAGAUGGGCCCGCGGUGCAUUAGCUAGUUGGUGAGGUAACGGCUCACCAAGGCAACGAUGCAUAGCCGACCUGAGAGGGUGAUCGGCCACACUGGGACUGAGACACGGCCCAGACUCCUACGGGAGGCAGCAGUAGGGAAUCUUCCGCAAUGGACGAAAGUCUGACGGAGCAACGCCGCGUGAGUGAUGAAGGCUUUCGGGUCGUAAAACUCUGUUGUUAGGGAAGAACAAGUACGAGAGUAACUGCUCGUACCUUGACGGUACCUAACCAGAAAGCCACGGCUAACUACGUGCCAGCAGCCGCGGUAAUACGUAGGUGGCAAGCGUUAUCCGGAAUUAUUGGGCGUAAAGCGCGCGCAGGCGGUUUCUUAAGUCUGAUGUGAAAGCCCACGGCUCAACCGUGGAGGGUCAUUGGAAACUGGGGAACUUGAGUGCAGAAGAGAAAAGCGGAAUUCCACGUGUAGCGGUGAAAUGCGUAGAGAUGUGGAGGAACACCAGUGGCGAAGGCGGCUUUUUGGUCUGUAACUGACGCUGANGGCGCGAAAGCGUGGGGGAGCAAACAGGAUUUAGAUACCCUGGUAGUCCACGCCGUAAACGGAUGAGUGCUAAGUGUUAGANGGGUUUUCCGCCCUUUUAGUGCUGCAGCUAACGCAUUAAAGCACUCCCGCCUGGGGGAGUACGGUCGCCAAGACUGAAAACUCAAAGGGAAUUGACGGGGGCCCGCACAAGCGGUGGAGCAUGUGGUUUAAUUUGAAGCAACGCGAAGAACCUUACCAGGUCUUGACAUCCUCUGACAACUCUAGAGAUAGAGCGUUCCCCUUCGGGGGACAGAGUGACAGGUGGUGCAUGGUUGUCGUCAGCUCGUGUCGUGAGAUGUUGGGUUAAGUCCCGCAACGAGCGCAACCCUUGAUCUUAGUUGCCAGCAUUUAGUUGGGCACUCUAAGGUGACUGCCGGUGACAAACCGGAGGAAGGUGGGGAUGACGUCAAAUCAUCAUGCCCCUUAUGACCUGGGCUACACACGUGCUACAAUGGAUGGUACAAAGGGCUGCAAGACCGCGAGGUCAAGCCAAUCCCAUAAAACCAUUCUCAGUUCGGAUUGUAGGCUGCAACUCGCCUACAUGAAGCUGGAAUCGCUAGUAAUCGCGGAUCAGCAUGCCGCGGUGAAUACGUUCCCGGGCCUUGUACACACCGCCUAUCACACCACGAGAGUUUGUAACACCCGAAGUCGGUGGAGUAACCG